GAAAUGCGAUAAUUAAUGUGAAUUGCAGAAUUCAGUGAAUCAUCGAGUCUUUGAACGCACAUUGCGCCCCCUGGUAUUCCGGGGGGCAUGCCUGUCCGAGCGUCAUUGCUGCCCUCAAGCACGGCUUGUGUGUUGGGCUUCCGUCCCUGGCAACGGGGACGGGCCCAAAAGGCAGUAGCGGCACCAUGUCUGGUCCUCGAGCGUAUGGGGCUUUGUCACCCGCUCCCGUAGGUCCAGCUGGCAGCUAGCCUCGCAACCAAUCUUUUUAACCAGGUUGACCUCGGAUCAGGUAGGGAUACCCGCUGAACUUAAGC
rnacentral:misc_RNA from 1 species